rnacentral:lncRNA from 1 species
AAUUGUAGUUGCCCUCCAUUUGUUGAAGCUUUUGUUGGUGAAACUUUUAUGGUGAAGCUUUGUAGGUGAAACUUUGUAGUGAAGCUUUGAUGGGUACCAUGAAUUGAUUUUGCUUCACACUAUCUUGAUCAAGAGUGUGUGAAGCUUUUGGCAUUUGUAGUUGCCCUCCAUUUGUUGAAGUUGUUGAAUUUCCCAAUUUCCUUUUUUUUUUUUUGCUAAAACUAGAAAUUUGUUGAAUUUCCUUUUUUUUUUUUUGGGAAUACUAGAAAUUUGAAAAUGUGGGAGAGACAAACAUAUACAAAUUUUGCUUACACACUGUUGAGCAAGAGAUUGUGAAGCAAGCCAAAUCUUGUAGUAGUCGAAGGUUUGGAUGAAUCAUAUAAAUUGAAUUUGCUUCGAACAGUCUUGAUCAAGAGUGUGUGAAGCUUUCUACGAGUUGUAGUGUUUGCAUUGUUACAGAGAAGAAAUGUCUGAAGCAGAUGCAAGAGGGCUGAAGAGCUUGAUCUUCGUAUACUAUGCACUGAAGUCGUUGUUGGCUUGCAAUAAGACGUUGUUGGCUUG